rnacentral:rRNA from 1 species
UACGGAGGGUGCAAGCGUUAUCCGGAUUCACUGGGUUUAAAGGGUGCGUAGGUGGGCAGGUAAGUCAGUGGUGAAAUCUCCGGGCUUAACCCGGAAACUGCCGUUGAUACUAUUUGUCUUGAAUAUAGUGGAGGUGCGCGGAAUAUGUCAUGUAGCGGUGAAAUGCUUAGAUAUGACAUAGAACAUCGAUUGCGAAGGCAGCUCGCUACACUAUUAUUGACACUGAGGCACGAAAGCGUGGGGAUCAAACAGG